AUUGAACGCUGGCGGCAGGCCUAACACAUGCAAGUCGAGCGGAUGAAGGGGGCUUGCUCUCUGAUUUAGCGGCGGACGGGUGAGUAAUGCCUAGGAAUCUGCCUGGUAGUGGGGGAUAACGUUCCGAAAGGAACGCUAAUACCGCAUACGUCCUACGGGAGAAAGCAGGGGACCUUCGGGCCUUGCGCUAUCAGAUGAGCCUAGGUCGGAUUAGCUAGUUGGGGAGGUAAUGGCUCACCAAGGCGACGAUCCGUAACUGGUCUGAGAGGAUGAUCAGGCACACUGGAACUGAGACACGGUCCAGACUCCUACGGGAGGCAGCAGUGGGGAAUAUUGGACAAUGGGCGUAAGCCUGAUCCAGCCAUGCCGCGUGUGUGAAGAAGGUCUUCGGAUUGUAAAGCACUUUAAGUUGGGAGGAAGGGUUGUAGAUUAAUACUCUGCAAUUUUGACGUUACCAACAGAAUAAGCACCGGCUAACUUCGUGCCAGCAGCCGCCGUAAGAC
rnacentral:rRNA from 1 species